CGUUCCCGGGUCUUGUACACACCGCCCGUCACACCACGAAAGUCGGCAACACCCGAAGCCGGUGGCCUAACCCGCAAGGGAGGGGAGCCGUCGAAGGUGGGGCUGGCGAUUGGGGUG
rnacentral:rRNA from 1 species